rnacentral:rRNA from 1 species
UGCAGAGGGUGCGAGCGUUAAUCGGAAUUACUGGGCGUAAAGCGUGCGUAGACGGUUAUUUAAGUCGGGUGUGAAAGCCCCGGGCUCAACCUGGGAAUUGCAUUCGAGACUGAAUAGCUAGGGUACGGUAGAGGGAAGUGGAAUUUCCGGUGUAGCGGUGAAAUGCGUAGAUAUCGGAAGGAACAUCAGUGGCGAAAGCGACUUCCUGGACCAGUACCGACGUUCAGGCACGAAAGCGUGGGGAGCAAACAGG